UACGGAGGGUGCAAGCGUUAUCCGGAUUCACUGGGUUUAAAGGGUGCGUAGGCGGGUAUAUAAGUCAGUGGUGAAAGCUCCGAGCUUAACUUGGAAACUGCCAUUGAUAUUGUAUAUCUUGAAUGUCGUUGAGGUUAGCGGAAUGUUGCAUGUAGCGGUGAAAUGCUUAGAUAUGUUACAGAACACCAAUUGUGAAGACAGCUAACUAAGCGAUGAUUGACGCUGAGGCACGAAAGCGUGGGGAGCAAACAGG
rnacentral:rRNA from 1 species